AACUUCGAGUAAUCGCGGUCGGCCCUGAGUCGGCUGAGGAAAGUCCACGCCCGCACAAGCUGAGAUGCUUGUAGUGUUCGCGCUUAGCCCAAUAAGCUAAGGUACUCUUUUAGAGUAACGGCGGCUCAAUGAUCUAAAGUCUUUUGACCAUGGUUAUAGCCUGAAAGUGCCACAGAGACGAGUCGACUGUGAAAACGGUCGAGUGGAACGGGGUAAACCCCACGAGCGAGCAACCCAAAUUUUGGUAGGGGAGUCCUAUGGCGGGAAAUGAACCUAAAGUAGGAGCGUCAGCAGAUAGAUGAUUACUGAUGAUUAAAAUGGACCUAGUUUUAAUCGGAACAAAACGUGGCUUAUAGAA
rfam:Lactobacillus dextrinicus DSM 20335 NODE_6, whole genome shotgun sequence.